CGUGUAGGCGGCCAAACAGGUCCGUUGUGAAAACUGGAGGCUUAACCUUCAGACGUCGACGGAAACCGUGUGGCUAGAGUCCGGAAGAGGAGAGUGGAAUUCCUGGUGUAGCGGUGAAAUGCGCAGAUAUCAGGAAGAACACCAAUGGCGAAGGCAGCUCUCUGGGACGGUACUGACGCUGAGACGCGAAAGCGUGGGAGCGAACA
rnacentral:rRNA from 1 species